rnacentral:rRNA from 1 species
CGGCGGACGGGUGAGUAACACGUGGGUAACCUACCUAUAAGACAGGGACAACUUCGGGAAACCGGAGCUAAUACCGGAUAAGAUAUCGAACCGCAUGGUUCGAUAGUGAAAGAUGGUUUUGCUAUCACUUAUAGAUGGACCCGCGCCGUAUUAGCUAGUUGGUGAGGUAACGGCUCACCAAGGCAACGAUACGUAGCCGACCUGAGAGGGUGAUCGGCCACACUGGAACUGAGACACGGUCCAGACUCCUACGGGAGGCAGCAGAU